AUACGGAAGGUGCGAGCGUUAUCCGGAUUCAUUGGGUUUAAAGGGAGCGUAGGCGGAGCGCCAAGUCAGCUGUGAAAUCCCGCGGCUCAACCGUGGAACUGCAGUUGAAACUGGCGCCCUUGAGUGCACAUGAGGAUGGCGGAAUUCGUGGUGUAGCGGUGAAAUGCUUAGAUAUCACGAAGAACCCCGAUUGCGAAGGCAGAUGUCUGGGGUGCCACUGACGCUGAGGCUCGAAAGUGCGGGUAUCAAACAGGAUUAGAUACCCUGGUAGUCCGCACAGUAAACGAUGGACACUCGUGGUCGGCGACACACUGCCGGUCACCAAGCGAAAGCGAUAAGUGUACCACCUGGGGAGUACGCCGGCAACGGUGAAACUCAAAGGAAUUGACGGGG
rnacentral:rRNA from 1 species